AUGUACAGCAUGAACUAUAUCGCCAAGAUCAUCAGCAACUUCCGUCUCUUCUACAACGAGAUCAACGCCGCAACGCUCACUGGCGCAAUCGAUGUCAUCGUCAUCGAACAACCGGACGGCUCCUUCACGUGCUCGCCCUUCCACGUCCGUUUCGGCAAACUCGGCGUACUUCGUUCCAGAGCAAAAGUGGUGGAUAUUGAGAUAAAUGGAGAACCCAGGGAAAUUCAUAUGAAACUUGGAGAUUCUGGCGAAGCGUUCUUUGUAGAAGAAGUUAGCUCAAAUGGAUCUCCGACAGACACCGAAAUCCCACCGCAUUUGGCCUGUUCGCCCAUACCCGACAAUUGCUUUCCGCCGCCGAAAUUUAAUUUGUUGUCAGAUCUACCUCAAGAACAAAGAGAGAAGAUUCUUAUAGACUCAGUUCUUUCCAUAGAGCGAGAAAAAUGGGAGCAGAUGUCUGCCUUGCCGCCUGAUGAACGGGAGAAAUUUCUGAUUGAACAAUUCUCAGAUCUUCCUGCAGAACAUCGUGAGAAAUGGCUUCAGAUUGCUUCACUGACUGUAGAAGAGCGAGACGAGAUGUUCAAGGAAAGCUUCGGCAUCAUAUCUCCAGAGCAGAAGCAGCAGAUGAUCAGGGAACAGUAUUCUGCUUUGAAGACAGAAGACAAAGAGAAAUUGUUUAAGGAGAAUUUCCCAGAGCUUUCGAUCGAGCAAAGACAAAAUUUCGAGAAAGCUUUACUGAGUGACUGGAAGGAAAAAGAGGAAAAAUGGGAAGAGAAACACGGCAAGAACGAUGACGAGGAGAUCUUUGAUAUGGAUGCUAUCAGUGAUGAGCAGCCGAAAUCAACGAUUUCUUGCCCGAAAUCUUUUGUAGCUGUUACUUCGUCCGAAAGAAUUCGUAAGAUAAGUGUAGUAAAGAAUGAUUUUAGGCCAAUUACGGAUGACCCUCAAACUAGCAAUAAGGAAAAAUCUAGUGACGAAUCUAACUCGUCUUCGGGCAAGAAGAAUUCGAAGGAAGAGAACAUUGAUGAGGGCAAGAGUAACAAUUCGACUAAGAGAAAACGUAAGAGGAAGAGUAUUAUGAAGAAGAAAGGCUCGCAGAGGAAAACCAGUAAUGGCAAUAGCAGUCAGACAGAAUUAAGCGAGAUUGAUGCAGUUUUUACCGAGGAGUCAAUUAACGAAAUGGGCCCCACUCCAAUAGCAGAGGAUGAAAAGAAGAAUAUCACUGUGGAAUCAAUGACAUCUUCUCAGGACGCAAUUGAGAAACGACCUGAAACCGAUUUUCAUUUCUUCAGUGACUCAGAAGUUACUAAAAAUAAGGACUCUAGACCAUGUUCGCCUGUUCAAUCGGACACAGAAUUUGAAGUACGUAAAAUUACGCAAGAGGGCAGCGAGAGAGAAGAUGACAAGGGUCAUCAGCAGAGUUGGAGAUGGGGUGAACUACCUAGUCCACCUCCAGAGCCGGCGCACAUGUCUCAUAGGAAUUCGUUGAGUUCUUUGGCAACUGCUAAUCAGCCAAACAAAGAUGCACAACGAUCUAUGCUCAGUGGCAUGUUCUCCUUUAUGAAGAAGACUUCUCGCGUAAGACACAAUCCGGAAUCAGAAGGAAUUUACCUUAGCGAUCUUAAUGCCGACGAACUGGACCCCGAAGUUGCGGCUUUGUACUUUCCCUCCUCGCAUCGAGGUCCGACAGUUAAAGAUGGAAAAACGGUAGAUGAAGAGGAUACAGAAUCGGGUAAUGGACCAAGUUUACCUCAGAGCCCCAACAGUGUUGAGGGAGCUAUUGGUGGACCAAAGUCCUUAGAUAGCGAUUUUGAGGAACCAAAGCAUCCUCUGUUCGAUAAUAGUAUAGACAUAAGUCUAUCUCUGUGCGGUGGUUUGGACAGUGAAAAUGGACCGUCCAAGGAGACUUUUAACGAAAAUUUAUUACACUUUGAAGACAUCUGUGCCGAUCCAAAACUAUACGAGAAUCCGAAUCUGGUUGUAAAAAUAAACGGGAAAUUCUAUAAUUGGAUUACAGCUUGUCCGAUAGUGUUGACUUAUGUCGUUUUUCAAAGACAUUUACCGCAAAGCGUAAUCGAAAAUCUGUAUAUGUCGUUGCCGGUGCAUGAAGAUAAAAAGCGACAGAGCAGCGAUAAGCCCGAGAGUCGUAGUGGAUAUAGUUCAUGGUUUUCUUGGAGGCGUUCCACGCAACCUCCUAAAAAACCGCAAGACACUAGUCAAAACGACGAAAUUGCUAUGCAGACACCUGAUCAGUCUGUAGAAGUUAAGGCUGUGACAAGCGAUGAAUUAGCUUCGGCUAACAGGGAAAUGAAGACUGAGCAAAACACAGAUUCGUCAAGCUCAACGGAGAUAAUGGAAAUAAUCUCUUGUACAAGAUUGCCAACUGCAUCGAAUGAAACUACACUGACAAAGACUGAGAAAACGCGUGAAGGAGAAGGUGAAGGAUAUAGCGGUGGUGAGGAUUCUGACAGUAACCACAACGAACCAACGGGUGUUAAAAUACCCGUAGAAAGAAGACCGUAUUACGAGUCGACGGAAAAAUAUCGUAAAACUCUGCGACUAUCGUCCGAACAGAUAGCGAGUCUUGAUCUAAAGGAUGGCGCUAACGAAGUGGUCUUUAGUGUAACUACCGCUUACCAGGGUACGAAACGUUGCAAAUGUCACAUCUACAAGUGGAAAUGGGAUGAUAAAAUCGUUAUUUCUGAUAUUGACGGUACCAUUACGAAAUCGGAUGUGCUGGGUCAUAUCCUACCAAUAGUAGGCAAGGAUUGGGCUCAAUCCGGAGUCGCUCAACUAUUUACGAAAAUAAAAAAUAAUGGCUACAAACUCCUAUACCUCUCAGCACGAGCAAUCGGUCAGGCUGGAGGAACUCGGGAAUAUCUGAGAAAUUUGAGACAAGGCGAUUUGACGCUGCCAGAAGGCCCGUUACUUUUGAAUCCUACAAGUUUAAUCCUAGCAUUUCAUCGCGAGGUGAUAGAAAAGAAACCGGAAGAAUUCAAGAUAUCCUGUCUGAGAGACAUUCAAGCAUUAUUUCCUGAAGGAUCCGAGCCAUUUUAUGCUGGAUAUGGAAAUCGUAUAAAUGACGUAUGGGCGUAUCGAGCAGUAGGCAUUCCUAUAAUGCGGAUCUUUACCAUAAAUUACCGAGGAGAAUUGAAGCACGAAUUGACACAGACAUUCCAAUCUUCUUAUGCGCGUCAGUGCAAUAUCGUCAAUGACGUGUUCCCGCCACAACCUAUACCAAAUGUCUACUGAUAGCACAACCAUAAAUUUUAAUAAAUGUAUUAAUUACAUUAAUUGUAUUAAAGUAUUAUAUAUUAAUGUGCCAAUAGCAUAUCCGACAUCGUUGAAUUAUGCUUGGGACAUUGCCAUACAUAAUUGCGCUACAUUUCGUGAUAACUGAUAUAGUACAAAAUUAAAACAUUUUAUAUAUGUGUGAGAGCACACGAGUGAUAUAACAGACAAUCAGGGAAACUCUUUUCCAAUUAUAAAUAUUUAAAUUACAUAUGUUACAUAUAACCACAAUUUGAUAUGCUUAUAUUUUGGGAUAUAUAUUUGGUUGUGCGCGACAACUCCUACCUAUCUUCUUAUGAUUUAUAGGAUAUUCGAACAUGAGCUUCAUCGUC